GGUAGUGGGUCUCACAUGGGUUAUCUUUUAUCAAAGAUUUUUUAUAGUUUAGAAUUUCUUAAGAUGUUUUGGUAUUCGAUAGUUUGGAAUAUUGUGGUUAUAAUUUAACCAUUGCAGGGGAAUUUUACUGGAACGCUAAGUUUUUAGAUUAAGCUGUCUAGAUUGAGUUAUGGAUCUCGAAGAUUAUUUUUUGGAGCUGCAGUUGCGCCGAUUAUACCCAUUGUGAAGGCCGAAGAAUAGCUGAAGUAUUCAUCCCACCUUGUCUAAGUCGAAGUUUUUAUUCGGAAGAACCUACUGAUUUAUAUCCUCGACAUAGUAUCCACGACAUACAUGGUCUACUUUGUGAUUGCAGAUUUGUGUGUUGCAUUCCCAUGUUUAUCAUGCGGGGAGUAUUAGAGAUAUAUUAGAGAGCAAGAUUUGUAUUUUGCGAACCAACUGUUAUGGGUCGUUGAAGUCCGAUUAUGAAAUGAAACCCAUGAAAUAUAUGAAACCCAAAUGGAAGAAUAUUAUAUAAAUCUUAUUGAGAUAAGGAUUAGAUAAUUUAGAUAUAUAUCAUACGAUUUGGAUAAGUUCUAUUACUAGUUGAAAUAUGUCUAAGUCUUGUGUAUUAAGACACAACACAACACAAUAUACUUCUCUCUUGUAGGUUAUUAAGACACAACACAAUAAUUUAUCAUAUUCUAUUAUACUUUACAAUAUUUAAUAG
rnacentral:lncRNA from 1 species